rnacentral:lncRNA from 10 species
ACUGAAGGGCAGUCCAGAUGGAGGGAAGAGCAAGUGCAAAGGCCCUGAAACAGAAAUGUGCCCAGAAUGUUCAAGGACUCACAGAUCUAACUUGGCUGAAGGCAAGGCUUCGGGGUCAAUAAGGAGAGCUGAUUGCAGGACUAUGCAUCACCAUCUGAUUACCUGGGUGUGCUUCAUGCUCUCGUGUGUGUGUGACAUUGUCAUGGAUGCAAUGUUCUCCUCAGAACAUGGAAUUCAACCUGCUGUCCUCUCUCAGUAACAAUAAUGAAGCUUUUAAAGCAUCCCUGAAAGAGUUAUCGUGGAAGGAUUUGCUAAAGGACCAAAGACAACUGCCAACCUCUUCAAAGGCAAUUUUCCUGCAUCAGUGUCACACAGCUGCUCUGGGAAGCAAUGCAGAAGGUUCCCUCCCU